ACAUACCUAUAUACAAUUAAAAACAACCCUUUUUUUUUAAACAAAUAGAAAGAGGUAUGGUGGUGUGGACCUGUAAUCCCAACAAUGAAGAGGGAAAGGAAGAAAGAUGAGGAGUUCAAAGUCAGCCAAGGCUGCACAAGGAGAUGAAAGCCACAAAGAGACACCUGAGCUGCUACCAUGGCACCCAAAGGAAGCAGAGUGGACAGUCAGCUGCCCUCUCCUGUGGCGCGUGCCCAGCCUGAUGACAGCCCCUGACCCCCGGCCACCACCACAUGCUUCUCAGCACCUCAUUCUCAAGUUCACGGAUUUGAUUCAUCUCUGUGCCAUCUGGAGGAGAUCUCUCAAUAAGUUGGUCAGGGGCAGUGUUUCCUGCACGUUUCCUCCCCCGCUUCACGUAUAAAACAUAUUUGA
rnacentral:lncRNA from 1 species